UGCUGAGGCUAAUUAGUGAUGAAUAGAGAGUGAAGUUAGCUACGUACCUGAACGUUUGUCGACAAUGUUGGGAAAAAGGAUGCUUCAAAGAAAUUAGGGGAUCACAUACAUGAAACAUCACAGUAAUUUUCAAGAAAAAUAGAAUAACUAGCGACCACUGCUUCUGAAGAAACCGCUUGCCGUUUACCGCAACUCUAAAUGACAUGCAGUCUCUAAGGAUAAGACUCGGUGGGCCAAACGACAACGUGUCGCUACAAACCGUUCUCCACCUGUCUAUCAAUUUGGGCCUGAGCUUGAAUGCAGAAGCCUAAUCUAGUCUCAGAUCAGCUUUAAAACUGCGUGCGGCUUUUGGUAAUAAAACGGACGGACACGUAGUUAAAACUAUUCAAACAUGGGACAACUAAAGAUGGCAUGCAGUGUUAAUACAAUAGAUACCAUCUUCUCCAUCUAAUACAAGAAAUUGUGUGGGUAGUUUUCUCCCGUUGAUGUUUGAGCUCAUUGCCUUGGAAUUGGGAGAAUACUGCUUGUGGCACUAGAAAAAGUGGAAAGGAGCUCAGCUUCAGGGUCAAGGGUUGGAGGUAGCAUUGCUUCAAUCCAGAAGAUUGCAGCUCCGGAGAUAGUCUAUGAAUGACAAAGAUCCCUGGGAAGAGUAGUUGAGCUCACGGGUUUACGAGGUUGCAUUGACCUGGGCAUACCACUUGAUGCUACGGUAGAGCGGGCUGCUCAGCAGUUCAGACAGAGAAGAUAUCGGUCAAAUAACCUGGUUUUGAUCGCAAGUGAACUACUGAAACUCCAAGCAACCGGUCUAUCUCAUCAUGCUGAUAAGGCACAGUGGAAAGGCAGGGGAGAUGCUUACAAGACUGUUUUCAGCUCUACUCAGACUUGGGAGUUAAUAAGAGAGGUGAGUCCGACAGUAACAUGGAGCAAAGGGAUUUGGUUUACACUAGCUACACCUAAAUACUCUGUGGUUGCGUGGAUUGCUGUCCAUAAUAGAUUGGCAACAGGAGACAGGAUUCAAAUCUGGAACCCACUUGCAGAUGCAACUUGCACUCUCUGCAAACUUCAGAAUGAGACAAGAAAUCACUUGUUCUUCACAUGCUCCUAUUCUAUGCUAAUAUGGAGGACGCUCACAAUGAAGUUGAUGGGGAACCGAUACUCCAGUAACUGGGAUGAUACUUUACAUAGUCUUACGGACACAACAUUGGACUGCAAUACUCUGCUCUUGCUACGGUCCGCUUUCCAGGCUGCUAUCCACUCAAUAUGGAGAGAGAAACGCUCGUCGUCACGGUGAGCCUUCUACAGAUCAGUUACUGCUAGCAAGGUACAUCGACAAACACAUCCGGAGCCGUAUUGAUUCCAUGCGUGGGAAACUACACAAGAAAUAUGACAAGGCUAUGCAGCUAUGGUUUGCAUCAAGAUGAUUCUUCUCUAGCAAAGUAGAAUAUUAGGCUUACAAAAACUCAAAAACAGCUGCAUUCAUUGUAAAAACGUUUUUUUUUGUUUUGAUUCCAAUUUAACAUUCAUUCAAAAAAAAAAAGACAAAGAUCCCUGUGAAUGCAGAUGCUUCUUGCCCUCCUGGAUGAAGCCAAUACUGGUUUAACCAUCGGAGAUGGAGGUGAUGACUCAGAGUCUGAAGAUAACAAAUACAGUAGAAAUAGCCGAUCCUCUGCUCUUGAGCUUCUCAAGGAUGAAAACGAUGGCCUUAGUUAAAAUUCAGGGGCUAUGUGGCUGAGCUUUUAGUCAAUUUCAUGUUGCACGAAAGACACAGUACAUUCCCCUGCACUAAAUUCAGCGUUACAGGCUGCUGCAAGUGGUCCUCGGUCAGAGAGGAUGAAGCAGACACUUAAGAUAGCUCUUCGGCUUCUUGAUGUCUACGUUAGUGUUACGUUGCGAGAUGCAAAUGACUGUAAGAUUGUUUACAGCCUUCCUAGUGUUCUUAAGCUGCUAAAAUAGGAUAAGUCAGUCACCAACGCAGUUCGACCUUUAACCACUGUUGAGUCUGUUCAUGCUUAAAUUUCUUUUUUUCAAUGUUUAUCUUUUGGCAGCUCUGAUAUGUGCAUUAAUCCCUCUACUCAUGAGAAGAAACUCUACAAUGUUUCAGGAUAAGAACUUUUCUCAUGAGGUAACAUGCAGCUUUUGUUUUGUAUAAUAUGAUCUCCUUUUCUAAAUUUUUGUUUUGCGUAGGAUUAGGAGUGGCAGACCCACUUGAUGACUUAUGGGGUCAGUCGACACCACAAAAAUUUAAUUUGUUGGCUAUGAUCAUUUGUGGUGUAGUUGGUUUGAUACUGCAGUAGUGAACCCACAAAAGUGGGGUUUGGGUGUCUUCAGUGACAUCUUAGAACUUUUUUGACCCCACAUAAUUUUUUUCUUGGGACAUGCUACAUGACAAUGUCUCUUAAUAAUCUCCUCUGGAUCUGAAUGGAUCUUCUAUUGAUAUUCAACUGUUUUCAGAUAUCCCAAGGCUAUUUUGACCUUUUGGUGUAUGGACUGCGUACCUAUAUUACCGCCAUAUUGAGCCUUAUCUAACAGAGAUACGGUAUGUUUAUGCAGAUUCGUUGGAGGGCUACUGGAGUUCUUGCUAGCAGCAUUUCAGAGGUCUCCGAAUUUCAUUCCGCUGUUGAAACUAAUGUCUUUGUUUUGUUUCCAUUACUUGGUUUGUGCUGGUAUCAGCAUUAUAAUUUUGAAUAAGAAGAUUUGACGCUGCAUUGGUUGAUAUGCUGAGUCAAAAAUCAGUCUAUCUAUCUUCAUGAUAGGUUACAUAUUCUUUUGAUUACAGCUUAUUCUCUUAAAGUAUGAAUUUUCUGAAACUUGUUGUGACUUCUUUCGUAAUGCAGAAGCCUAUAAUUGACACGCCUGGAGAAGCUAGCGAUGACCCUGCUAAGGUCAGUUUCUAAUAUUUACACGGAUGCUUUGUAAUACUAUCUCCUCUAAACAUUUGCGUCCAUAGAGAGCUAGCUUUACAGCUAUGUUGGACAACUGGAGAGUAUGGUGGUGAGGGAGAAUCAUAAAAGGAUGCUGCUCGCGAGCUCUUUGAAAGCUUAGAGUUGAUUUCUAUAUGAGAAUCUCUCACUCAUCAAGGUAUUAUUAACUUCUUUUGUUACUUAUCACCCUGCCUUUCUCGGCAAGAAAACAAAAAUUGGUACUUACAACAACACAUCUCAUUGCACAUUCUAACUGAACAAGGAGGUUAAAGAGUUAUUCUAUUAAUCUACUCUCUUAACACUUAAUUGAUUCAACUUGACUUAGAUGAUAAUCUUGUGACCAAAAAAAAGAUUUAGAUGAUGAUGUUGCUUGCAAGAGAUUAUCCAUAUUUGGACUUAUCUCUCCCGGUUAGACCCGGUUUCGUGUAUACAACUGCAGAUACAUGUACCAAAAGAUGUAGGUAGAGUUAUUUGUGAGGGAGCAUAGAGGUGAAAAACUGGUAGAGAGGGGAGAAAGAUUGCAUACAAAGAAAGUAAAGAUGGGAAUAUGAUUUGAUGUAAAGCCUGUGAGGACGUUUCCUUGUGACAGACACGACGCGUCUAUAUCCGGUCCAUUCGUUUCUUCUUUGGACAUUGAUGGAUGGAUGUGAUUGCUUCUUAUUGAUUUGAUGCAUCCAUAUGGUCUUCCUUUUUCUUUUACGCGUCUUUUUUUCUUGUUCCUUGUAAUAAAGCCUUAACGCGUAUUGAAUUUUUCGUAACAAGAAUCUUAUUCACA